UAGCGUUCAGGCACGAUGGACACUGUCAGCUUUGGAACGAGCUCGUUAAGGAUGGAGAGGUGACGACUUCAUCUACCUGUGUAAUUAACAGGGAUGGAGUGCCUUCAAAGAAAGGUGAGAAUGGCAAACAUUACUGCGGCAUGUCAGUGCUCACCUGCCUUUGCUGCAACGGCAACUGUGGUCCUAACGACGGCUGCAACUGCCCGGCAUGUCAGGAGUUAGACGAGGAGGAGAA